CCCUUAGAUGUUCUGGGCCGCACGCGCGCUACACUGAUGCAUUCAACGAGUCUAAAACCUGCUCUGAUAGGGGUGGGUAAUCUUUUGAAUGUGCAUCGUGAUUGGGAUAGAUGAUUGCAAUUUUUCAUCUUCAACGAGGAAUGCCUAGUAAACGCAAGUCAUCAGCUUGCAUUGAUUACGUCCCUGCCCUUUGUACACACCGCCCGUCGCUCCUACCUAUUGAAUGAUCCGAUGAAUAUCAUGGAUUGAGGAUGCAAGUAGGUUCGCCUAUCUUCAUCUUCGAGAAGUGAAGUAAAUCUUAUCAUUUAGAGGAAGGAGAAGUCGUAACA
rnacentral:rRNA from 1 species